rnacentral:rRNA from 1 species
UAGGGAAUCUUCCGCAAUGGACGCAAGUCUGACGGAGCAACGCCGCGUGAGUGAAGAAGGAUUUCGGUUCGUAAAACUCUGUUGUUAGAGAAGAACAGCGCAUAGAGUAACUGUUAUGCGUGUGACGGUAUCUAACCAGAAAGCCACGGCUAACUACGUGCCAGCAGCCGCGGUAAUACGUAGGUGGCAAGCGUUGUCCGGAUUUAUUGGGCGUAAAGCGAGCGCAGGCGGUCAAUUAAGUCUGAUGUGAAAGCCCCCGGCUCAACCGGGGAGGGUCAUUGGAAACUGGUUGACUUGAGUGCAGAAGAGGAGAGUGGAAUUCCAUGUGUAGCGGUGAAAUGCGUAGAUAUAUGGAGGAACACCAGUGGCGAAGGCGACUCUCGGGUCUGUAACUGACGCUGAGGCUCGAAAGCGUGGGUAGCAAACAGG